rnacentral:rRNA from 1 species
UACGUAGGGUGCAAGCGUUGUCCGGAAUUAUUGGGCGUAAAGAGCUCGUAGGCGGUCUGUCGCGUCUGCUGUGAAAACUCAGGGCUUAACCCUGAGCUUGCAGUGGGUACGGGCAGACUAGAGUGCGGUAGGGGAGACUGGAAUUCCCGGUGUAGCGGUGAAAUGCGCAGAUAUCGGGAAGAACACCCGUGGCGAAGGCGGCUCUCUGGGACGGUACUGACGCUGAGACGCGAAAGCGUGGGGAGCGAACAGG